rnacentral:rRNA from 1 species
GACGAACGCUGGCGGCGUGCUUAACACAUGCAAGUCGAACGCUGAAGCCCUGGCUUUUGUUGGGUUGGAUGAGUGGCGAACGGGUGAGUAACACGUGAGUAACCUGCCCUCUUCUUUGGGAUAACGCCCGGAAACGGGUGCUAAUACUGGAUAUUCACUGAUCUUCGCAUGGGGGUUGGUGGAAAGGUUUGUUCUGGUGGGGGAUGGGCUCGCGGCCUAUCAGCUUGUUGGUGGGGUGAUGGCCUACCAAGGCUUUGACGGGUAGCCGGCCUGAGAGGGUGACCGGUCACAUUGGGACUGAGAUACGGCCCAGACUCCUACGGGAGGCAGCAGUGGGGAAGAUUGCACAAUGGGCGAAAGCCUGAUGCAGCGACGCCGCGUGAGGGAUGGAGGCCUUCGGGUUGUAAACCUCUUUCGCUCAUGGUCAAGCCGCAACUGUGGGUUGUGGUGAGGGUAGUGGGUAAAGAAGCGCCGGCUAACUACGUG